rnacentral:lncRNA from 10 species
GUGGGUUGGGUGCACAGGUCAUGAAGGCAGCAAAAAUUCCAACCCACUCCUCAAGAGUCCAGUCACCACCUCCAGAUCUAUGUCCAAAAAACAGCUCUUCCUAUGGCUGAGCUACAUGAGCAACAAGCAAAUAACCAUGUUUUUUGUUGUUGUUGUUUAGUUUUGUUUUGCUUUGUUUUUAGACAGAGUCUCGCUGUGUCACCCAGGCUGGAGUGCAGUGGUGCGAUCUCAGCUCACUGCAAUCUCUGCCUCCUGAGUUCAAGUGAUUCUCCUGCCUCAGCCUCCCUAGUAGCUGAGACUACAGGCACUCACUACCACGCCCAGCUAAUAUUUGUAUUUUUAGUAGAGACAGGGUUUCACUAUGUUGGCCAGGCUGUUCUUGAACUCUUGACUUCGUGAUCCACCCGCCUCAGCCUCCCAAAGUGCCGGGAUUACAGGCGUGAGCCACCGCGCUCAGCCACAACCAUGUAUUUUUAAGCAAA